rnacentral:rRNA from 1 species
UACGGGGGGAGCAAGCGUUGUUCGGAUUUACUGGGCGUAAAGGGCGCGUAGGCGGCGUGACAAGUCACUUGUGAAAUCUCCGGGCUUAACCCGGAGCGGCCAAGUGAUACUGUCGUGCUAGAGUGCGGAAGGGGCUACUGGAAUUCUCGGUGUAGCGGUGAAAUGCGUAGAUAUCGAGAGGAACACCUGCGGCGAAGGCGGGUUGCUGGGCUGACACUGACGCUGAACUGCGAAAGCUAGGGGAGCGAACGGG